CCGGAACUUCCGGGGCUGCUCCCUUAGCGUCUGGGGUUGGGCGGGAGAUACAGAGGGCAUCGGGCCGCUGGCAGCCACCGAAAUAGGCCUAAGGGAUUGUGAAGAGGCGCGGGGCCAGCGGACAAGCCUGCAGUGCCCCCCGGCUUUGCGCGGGUUUUCUGGAUUGUGUAAGCAAUGAAUGAAACUGUCUUCGUAAAGCACGUUUUUUCACUCUUUUCCCCAGGGUUCCUCCAGAAAAUGAGAACUAUCCAUUCCACGGCAAUUGGAUGAUUGAUUCCUCCUGAUGAGUUUUCCAGGUGACCCCAGUUUGAGUGACCCAGGUCAGUUUCCUGGGAGAUGGGUGCAUAUGCUGCGUGAAAAUAUGGUUUCGGUUCUGCUGGUUCUGUGUCAUUGUUUUGAUUUAGGGCCUUCCAGGUUGGUUUCUUUCCUUGAGACGGGGUCUCUCUGUGUAGUCCAGGCUCACGUCAAACUCAUCAUGUGGCCCAGGCUGGCCUCAGACCCACAGUGAUCCUCUCGUGUCAGCCUCCCAAGUGCUGAGAUGACAGUGUGCACCACCAUGCCUGGCUUGGUUUCAUUCUUCACCAUGUGCUCUGUGAGACGGAUAUAAAUAAAUGGAGUCCAAACCCAAA